rnacentral:lncRNA from 1 species
ACCACAUGCAAGAAAUAAAAUGCCCCAUUUAUUUUUGGCAUUAAGGAGGAGGAGUCCUUAAAUACUCCUCUUAAUUUCUCCCUUCUUAUCUUUCCAUGUAUUGCAUUAUUCCACGUGCCAUCAAAUGGCUCUUGAAAAUAUAUGGGUGCAGAAGAGGAGAAGUCCUUCUCUGUGAAGGAACUCACAUGCCAAAAUUAAAUGGGAUGCCCACUUUAUUUGUGCGG